rnacentral:rRNA from 1 species
AUUGAACGCUGGCGGUAUGCUUAACACAUGCAAGUCGAACGAUGAGAAAGAGCUUGCUCUUUCGAUUAGUGGCGGACGGGUGCGUAACGCGUAGGAAUCUACCUAUUAGUGGGGGACAACUUAGGGAAACUUAAGCUAAUACCGCAUACGCCCUACGGGGGAAAGAAGGGGAUCGCAAGACCUUUUGCUAAUAGAUGAGCCUGCGUAGGAUUAGCUAGUUGGUGGGGUAAAAGCUCACCAAGGCGACGAUCCUUAACUGGUUUGAGAGAAUGAUCAGUCACACUGGAACUGAGACACGGUCCAGACUCCUACGGGAGGCAGCAGUGGGGAAUAUUGGACAAUGGGCGAAAGCCUGAUCCAGCAAUACCGCGUGUGUGAAGAAGGCCUUAGGGUUGUAAAGCACUUUCAAUUGGAAGGAAAACCUCGAAGCUAAUACCUUCGAGUUUGACAUUACCUUUAGAAGAAGCACCGGCUAACUCCGUGCCAGCCGCCGCCGUAA